AUAAAACGUAUACACGUGUAUACGUUAAAUAUAUACUACUUUAGAGUCUAUUGAAAAUAUAUACACAUAUAUCACCACAAAAAAUGUGUUAAAUUGCGGGAGUUUAUUUGUGGGGGUUAUUUUAACCCCCGCAAAAUAAUAUGAAAUGCGGGGGUUUAAAAUUUGCUGCUAAAAUUUACAAACUUGCGGGGGUUUAAAACCCCCGCUAUCAAUAAAAAAUAUGCUUUAUCCCAUAAAGAAAAAAAUUCCCUCUUUAUUUUAUUUGGCCAAAAUUUUCCCUCUUUCAUUCCCCCAAAUCUCCCUCUCUCUCAUUUCCCUAAAAUUUGUCACUCUCUCGUCCCUCCUCCCUCCCUUCCAAAACCAAAUUGACUCCAUCGACCGGCUAUUGAUACUCCAGCCAGACCAACUCUUAGGGGUUGGUAAUCUUGAAAAAAAUAUUCGAUUUGUAGCUGAGUUGUAUUGAGAGUUUUCUUGAAUUAAGGGAGGAGUUUGAGAAAUUGAAGAUUUUGCUUCCAGACUACCAGUUGAGAGUUGGAAGUAUUGCAAACUACAUACGAUAUGCCAAGGGUCAAGCGAUUGCAGAAAAAACAAAAACUAGGUUCGUCGGUAUCUACAUCACAAGUUACUGAAUAAGCACCUUCUUUUCUGGACAAAACAAAUAUGUCUCCGCCAAUUCAACAUGCACCGCAACCAUCUCGACCAGGUUAUUCAACAUCCCAUCCAGCUCCUAUAGAUCAGGACACUCCACAUCUGGGAUCGACAGUUUUCCCUGAAUCACAACUAUUUCCAACAGAUCAGUUGACAUCAUAUCCAUCUCUAGUUGGUCAGGUUUCAUCACAGUCAUCUCUUGUUGUUCAGGACUCAUCACUUCUAUCUCCUGUUGGUUGGGACUCAUCACAUCCAUCUCUUGUUCGUCGAAACUCAUCACAGCCGUUUUCUAUUGGUUAAGACUCAUCACAGCCAUCUCGAUCAGUUCACUCUACAUCACAUCUGGGUCUGACAAACCAGGACUCAUUAUAGUGAUCUCGAUCAAUUUAUUCUAUAUCACAUUCGACUCCAACAAAUCAGGACUCAACACAACCAGCUCUACCAUAUGAGGCUACACCCCAAAAACGUUCUAGACGUGAAUUGAAUACAUAAUGGGUCAUAGACGCAAUAGGUAAAUACUUCAGACUAUCAAUACAUAUUCAAUCGACCUUUUCUAAGCCAAUGUAAUGUCUCUCAUAGCUUCACCCAAUCUCUUUUCUUAUAAUAGAUUUAAGAAAUAAUGUCAAGAAAAUCAAAGUGGAAGCUAAGGAAGUACUGAAUUUAACAGGUAAAGGACGUAUCAUGAUUAAAUUUGACACUUAUGAAAAAAUAUUUGGGGAAGAACGCAGCCUACUUUCGUGCUUUUAUGGAAUAUCAGCAUGUUAUUACUUUUUUUUCCAAUCAAUUUUGAGAAAUGGUCGAGCUUACCUAUGACACAUUUCAACCGCGUCUUCGAGCAUAUUAUAAAGGUAUAAGCUCUAAAUUCUGAUGACUAUACCACUGAUUAGUUUUUUCUUUGAAUUUUAUAUUUACAUGUAGUAGAAAAGCUAACCAAUAUUUUCAUUUUGAAGUCCAAAUUCUUCUUUGACACAGUCGAAUCAAUUGCUCGACGACAUAUUUCUUUAUCUAUUGGAAAAAAAUGGGCUGCAAAUAAGCUUAAUAUGUGGAAUGAAAUUGAUGAUCCACUUAAAAGUAGAGCUCAAAUUAUGAAUAAGAAAAUGCAUCAAAUGAACCGUGAAAAUUGAAAGAAACACACAAUUCCGCACACCGGUGGCUCCAAAGCCAAUGCUACCAGAAGGGCUGAAAUGAUGGUCGAUACUUGACAAUGGCCUAGACGAGCACAAAUGUACAUUGCUACUCAUAAGAAUCAAGAUGGAGUAUAUAUUAAUGAAGCGGCAAAAGAAAUAUGUG